AUAAUCACUUGUUCUCUAAAUAAGGACUCGUAUUAACGGCAUAACGAGGGUUACACUGUCUCCCCCCUCCAAUCAGUGAAACUGAUCCCCCCGUGAAAAAGCGGGGAUAAAACUAUAAGACGAGAAGACCCCGUGGAGCUUUAAACCAACAGCAAUUUAGUAAAAAAUUCCCUCACAACUAUAAAACUAUGCUAACGGCUUUAGGUUGGGGUGACCACGGAGUAAAACUUAACCUCCAUGUCGAAAAGAUAAUAUUAACCUAAGAACUACUAUUCUAAGAAUUAGAAAACUAACGAACCAUGACCCGAUUAUCGAUCAACGAACCAAGUUACCCCGGGGAUAACAGCGCAAUCUACUUCAAGAGUCCUUAUCGACAAGUAGGCUUACGACCUC
rnacentral:rRNA from 1 species